rnacentral:rRNA from 1 species
UACGGAGGGUGCAAGCGUUAAUCGGAAUUACUGGGCGUAAAGCGUGCGUAGGCGGUUCGUUAAGUCAGCUGUGAAAGCCCCGGGCUCAACCUGGGAACUGCGGUUGAAACUGGCGAACUAGAAUCUGGCAGAGGGGGGUGGAAUUCCACGUGUAGCAGUGAAAUGCGUAGAGAUGUGGAGGAACACCGAUGGCGAAGGCAGCCCCCUGGGCUGAGAUUGACGCUCAGGCACGAAAGCGUGGGGAGCAAACAGG